rnacentral:sRNA from 1 species
AAAUUUCCUUUUGAUGAAGUCGUUGACUAAAGCGUCAUUAAAACAAAACAAAAAAAGAAUUCCAAAAACCCUCCAAAAUUCCUUUUUAAAGAUAGGAAGGCAUACCUGCUGUCAUUUUAUAGGUAGAACACUAAAACACAGUAAAUUACCUGGCCUCCAACUUGGUAGUCUGAUUUUUUUCUGCCUUGGUCUGGUGUUUUUGUGGUUUUGUUCUUACUUUUUGUGAGUUGUGAGGGGUUUUUUGUUGUUUAUUUUUUGUUAGGUGUAUAGACACACUUUUGGAUGUCAUAUUUAACAGGGAAAGCAUAGAGUCAUGGGCCUGAAUAACAGUUGAGUACAAAUAUUUAUAAAUUAGUUGAAGUAACUUUGAUUUCAAUGUUAUAUUUUAAAGUCUAGGUUAUUUUACUACAGAGCAUUACAAUGAUAAAAUAUUUCAUCUUUUUUUUUUUUUUAGCUUGUCAGCUCAUUUGCAGCUUACGUUUACUGGUUUCUUCCACAAAAAUGGUAUGUACUUAAAAGUAAAUAAAGUGGCAUUUUAAUAGCAAGAUACCUUUGUGAAUGUAAAAAAAGUGGGGCUUCUGAGUGUAAAUUUAUAAAAUUAAGUUUAAUGGAAAAUAUGUUGAUUCUGAUGUUUUUGAGCUUUAAGGUAUGAAGGCUAAUGAUGAAAUUUGUUUUUGGUGGAUGGUAGGGCAGAGUGAAGGCUGGAGUGCAAUGUUAUGAUCUUGGCUGACUGCAGCCUCCACCUCCCGGGUUCAAGCGAUUCUCCUGCCUCAGCCUCCUGAGUAGCUGGGAUUACAGGCACGCGCCCCAUACCUGGCUAAUUUUUUGUAUUUUUAGUAGAGACAGGGUCUCACCAUGCUGGCCAGGCUGGUCUUGAACUCCUGACCUCGUGAUCCACCCGCCUUGGCCUCCCAAGGGGGCAUGAGCCACCACGCCUGGCUAAUGAUGAAGAUUUUAACAAAUUGUCUUAGAACUUCAAUAGGUAAAGAAUCUCCUCAGUAGAACCUUUUAUGCAUAAACAUUUUGAAUUAAUGAUACUGUAUCAUGUUUUAAAAAAAAACAGUAAAACAACUGAAAUAACCACUAUUACCAAUGGCAUAUAUUAAUAUUUUAGAUAUUAUUCAAAGGAAAUUAUAUGGUAUAUUACUCCAGUAAAAGCUCAAAGCAUGCUGGAAAUAAUUAGAGUUGUUUUAAAAAUAGAAAAAUACGGCCAGGCGCAGUGGCUCACGCCUGUAAUCCCAACAUUUUGGGAGGCUGAGGCGGGUGUAUCAUGAGGUCAGGAGUUCAGGAUGUUCAGGAGUUCAGCUGGCCAAUAUGAUGAAACCCCAUCUCUACUAAAAAUAUAAACAUUAGCCAGGCGUGGUGGUGGGUGCCUGUAGUCCCAGUUACUUGGGAGACUUAGGCAGAAGAAUCACUUGAACCUGAGAGUCGGAGGUUGCAAUGAGCUGAGAUUGUGUUACUGCACUCCAGCCUGGGCGACAGAGCGAGACUCCAUCUCAAAAAAAAAAAAAAAGGGAAAAUCAGUUAUCAGCUUAUCCAUCAUAAGUCUGUGUAUAUGGCAUAUCUUUUUAUUAUGCAAUGGAAUAAAACCAUUAUUAGAAACAUGCCAGGUUGGUUGUCUUGGUAUCGUUUAGUAAGAAACAAAGAUUGAAAAUGAGUCCUGGUGGGCCGGGCACGGUGGCUCACGCCUGUAAUCCCAGCACUUUGGGAGGCUGAGGCGGGUGGAUCACAAGGUCAGGAGAUCGAGACUAUCCUGGCUAACAUGGUGAAACCCCGUCUCUACUAAAAUACAAAAAAACUAGCUGGGCGUCAUGGUGCACACCUGUAGUCCCAGCUACUUGGGAGGCUGAGGCAGGGGAAUCGCUUGAACCCGGGAGUUGGAGGUUGUAGUGAGCCAAGAUCAUCCCACUGCACUCCAGCCUGGUGACAGAGCGAGACUCUGUCUAAAAAAAAAGAAAAA